UUCGCAGUAUAUUCUUGUGGCUUGAUGUGUUAGAAAUCGUGCUCAAAUCACAGGAGUAUACUGUGAG
rnacentral:pre_miRNA from 14 species